UGCAGGUUUAUUAUUAUGCCCCCCUCUCUUUUCUCUUAAUCACAUUUCUCUCUUCUCAUCUUCUCCCUUCUUUCUCCGUUUGAUUUGUCUUCUUCGUCUGAUCUUUUCGUUCUCCCUCCGACUGAAAUAGGCAAGUUGAUUCCUAGUAGAGGAUGCUGACCAUGUUAUUAGAGCUUGGUGGAGGGUCAAUCAACCCCAAUAACAGACCUAGUACCGAAUAUUCUGCCCCCCUAGUUGUGGACUAUCUCGACCCUCGCUCACUCCGAACAUAAACAAAGGGCCUAAAUUAAUCGAACAUACCUUUUGUAAGUUUGAGGUUCGUAAGUUUUAAGUUCGGAAUGAUUUUCGUUACUGUCUAUUCUUUCUUCUACUUGUUGGGGACUAUUUAGUUCAAAUGUAUUAUGGUUAUGUAUUUUGGACUUGUAUGUUGGACAUUUUCCCACAUUUUCUCCCUUGUGAGAAUGUUGAGUUUUUUUCCCUCUCUUUCUUCAAGAAGACUAUUAUAACACAAAGUUAUCAGAAAAAUAUUAUCUUGUAUUGUUAAA